rnacentral:rRNA from 1 species
UACGAAGGGGGCUAGCGUUGCUCGGAAUUACUGGGCGUAAAGGGCGCGUAGGCGGACAUUUAAGUCAGAGGUGAAAGCCCAGGGCUCAACCUUGGAAUUGCCUUUGAUACUGGAUGUCUUGAGUUCGGGAGAGGUGAGUGGAAUGCCGAGUGUAGAGAUGAAAUUCGUAGAUAUUCGGCGGAACACCAGUGGCGAAGGCGACUCACUGGCCCGAUACUGACGCUGAGGCGCGAAAGCGUGGGGAGCAAAC